rnacentral:rRNA from 1 species
AUGAAGAAGUUGAGGACGCUGCACAAGAACUCGUCGCUUCCGUGCUCUGUAACAUGCUGCAGCAGAUUGCAAAAACGACCGAACACAUCCAGCGCCGUCAGAUUCAAUCGUGUGGCCCUUUCCCCUUCGCUCGUCUUCCUCCCUGCACUGUCGCAGGUAUCGUCCUUGGCGUGGAUUUGUCCCGCAAGGCAUGCCGGCCUGAAGAGAUGCGCUCAGACGUGCUGCCACCGUGGUGGACCUUCGCCGGAUCACGGCGGGACGAUGGAGGAGUCAUCCGCCGCGGUCCCGCGCUUCGCCGACAUGCCUGUGCGCCUGCUCGCCAGGCGCCAUGACCUCGACGGGAUGGGGCUCGACGCCGACACGCUCUGCCUCCCGUCGCACCUCUUCGCCCUCUUCGAUGGCCAUGGCGGCGCCGAGGUGUAUGACUACUGCCGAGAGAUGCCACAAGUUCAGCAAGUCCAUCUUGACCCCAUUUCCUGUUGGCUGAGACCCUCACAAUCUCUCUCGCUCUCCAAUUUCAGUGGACACACAUGCAGUGUUUCGAACGGAUGCCAGCUUCAGAGUUUCAGAGAAAGAUCAGAGCAAUUGAAAACAGAGGAGACAGUAGUAUUUUGA